rnacentral:lncRNA from 1 species
CACAGAUGCUAUGCUCCUUAUGUUUCGAACAAGCUGGAACACUACCCGGUUUGUUGAAUGGAUAGUAGUAGGGAGGAUGGCUAUGAAGUUCAAUAACCAGCAUUUUUGUUUGCUUUUGCUUUUGCAGGGCUAAGGAUUGAACCCAGGGCCUCAUGUAUGCUAGGCAAGUGUUCUGCCACUGAGCUAUAUCCUCAGCCCCACUAGCCAGUGUUUAAAUCACUUAUGUGAGAUAUAUGGUCCUUCUCCAUUGCCAACCAUGCCUCAACUGUUGGCUGAGCCAGGACUGAUUGGCUAAACAAACCCAAAGUGCCUCUAUUAUUAUUAUUAUUACGUGCUGGGUAUUGAACCCAGGGACUUGUGCUUGCUAAGCAAACACUCUACCACUGAGCUAUAUUCCCAGCCCUAAAGAGCCAGCCUUCAUUUUAAGGUUCCAUCCCUUCUUCACUGUUCUCUGGCCAAAUCUGUGGAUAGAAAGGAGUGAAAAUUCUCCUUUGCUCCUCCAUCACAGUCUUCACACUUGGAUCCUAUCCCAGCCCUCCAAUUCCCCACCCCGUUUUUACAUGGAGCCUGUCCAUGAAGCAAACAGAC